CCUACGGGAGGCAGCAGUGGGGAAUAUUGCACAAUGGGGGAAACUCUGAUGCAGCGACGCCGCGUGAGCGAAGAAGUAUUUCGGUAUGUAAAGCUCUAUCAGCAGGGAAGAAAAUGACGGUACCUGCCUAAGAAUCUCCGGCUACAUACGUACCAACAGCCGCGGCAAUACGAAUGGAGCAAGCGUUAUCCGGAUUUACUGGGUGGAAGGGGAGCGUAGGCGGUAAGGCAAGUCUGAUGUGAAAGGCCAGGGCUCAACCCUGGGACUGCAUUGGAAACUGUUUAACUGGAGUGUAGGAGAGGCAAGUGGAAUUCCUAGUGUAGCGGUGAAAUGCGUAGAUAUUAGGAGGAACACCAGUGGCGAAGGCGGCUUGCUGGACGGUGACUGACGCUGAGGCUCGAAAGCGUGGGGAGCAAACAGGAUUAGAUACCCCGGUAGUC
rnacentral:rRNA from 1 species